rnacentral:lncRNA from 1 species
AAGACAAACAAUAAACAAAGCUUUCAAGAAAGGAGGCACUCAAACAGAAUCUUAAGAACAACUCUAGAUUAGAUUCAGAAAAGCAAUAAAAGACUAGCAAUGUACAUUGACUUCGAAUUAGCUAUUCAAUGCAAUGGAUCCGAACUUUUUGUGAAAAUGCCACUGAGAAUUGGCUAUUUCUGAUGCAGAAAACUUGGUUCAAAUCUGCUGAUCAAUAUUCAAUCGGAUGUAUUGGUUCCUACAGCCUUUUACUAUGCUUUCAUUUCUUUUGCAUAUUCAAGUCGUAUUGUUUUGGAACCAAGACUCUUACUACAUCCUCAAUUCAUCCAAUCAUUCAAAUGCAAUUUUUAAGAAAAAAAAUUGAAACAAAUCUGGAUGCACUGCAGUGUUACGACUCUUGACUCAAAUGUCAGCAANUCAUGUAUGCAAAAUUGGCAGAACAACUAUUGGCUAAGUCAAACAGUUUCAGACAUAUUUGAAUUGUUAAAUCAGACUUGUUUGACCUCAAUUGCUUCCAAAAUUCCAANUAUAUCAAAUUUGGACCAUACCAGUUCUGCAAUCAGCACUUUGAAGCAACUAGACUUGCCAAACUUUGCAAUCACAACUAAUUCAAAUUGAACACAAUGCAACUGAGUUUAAAACAGUAAAAGAAAUUUGCUCCAAAUGGCAGAAUUAUCAAUUAGAUGAUUGGCAAUGAUCUAAUGCUCAAUCCAACUCAACACACAGAAUUGACUACAAAAAGAACUCUGCAGAUCGGUUUACUGCAACUAACACUUGCAAAUGGACUUUUCAACAGUAUGACCAGAUUAAAUGCAAUGCAAAAUCAUGCUCAGUCAAUAUGUAUACUGGUUCAGAUUGUAAGAAUAUAUCCAGGAUCAAACAGCAGAGUAAAACAGAUUUGAUGACAGAAAAGCAAAUUGAACUGGACAAGACUACGACAAACUGGAAAUGAUGUAGAAAUCACAAGACUCAAUCAAAUAAGGUGAACCGAAUUAAAAUGAUGAAAUAAGACUCAAAGCACAUAUCAACACAAACAGAUGCACAGAAC